rnacentral:rRNA from 1 species
GAAGGUGUACUGUGAGGUAUGCUGGAGGUAUCAGAAGUGCGAAUGCUGACAUAAGUAACGAUAAAGCGGGUGAAAAGCCCGCUCGCCGGAAGACCAAGGGUUCCUGUCCAACGUUAAUCGGGGCAGGGUGAGUCGACCCCUAAGGCGAGGCCGAAAGGCGUAGUCGAUGGGAAACAGGUUAAUAUUCCUGUACUUGGUGUUACUGCGAAGGGGGGACGGAGAAGGCUAUGUUGGCCGGGCGACGGUUGUCCCGGUUUAAGCGUGUAGGCUGGUUUUCCAGGCAAAUCCGGAAAAUCAAGGCUGAGGCGUGAUGACGAGGCACUACGGUGCUGAAGCAACAAAUGCCCUGCUUCCAGGAAAAGCCUCUAAGCAUCAGGUAACAUCAAAUCGUACCCCAAACCGACACAGGUGGUCAGGUAGAGAAUACCAAGGCGCUUGAGAGAACUCGGGUGAAGGAACUAGGCAAAAUGGUGCCGUAACUUCGGGAGAAGGCACGCUGAUAUGUAGGUGAAG